rnacentral:rRNA from 1 species
UACGUAGGGUGCAAGCGUUGUCCGGAAUUAUUGGGCGUAAAGAGCUCGUAGGCGGUCUGUCACGUCGGCUGUGAAAUCCCGAGGCUCAACCUCGGGUCUGCAGUCGAUACGGGCAAACUAGAGUAUUGCAGGGGAGACUGGAAUUCCUGGUGUAGCGGUGAAAUGCGCAGAUAUCAGGAGGAACACCAGUGGCGAAGGCGGUUGCCUGGGGCUUUGCUGACGCUGAUGCGCGAAAGCGUGGGGAGCGAUCCGG